UUCUCUGGUUAUGGACCUGGAGUGAGAAUUGUCACGUUUUCAUCUAAAGGUAUGUAAUCUUAAGAUAGUUUUAUGACGUACUAAAACCGCGUUGAUAAUGCUUAAAAAUUUUCUAAAGGUCGUUAAAGCUCCAAGUUUAAUCAAACUAUUACUUUGGCUAAGCCGUAUUUGUCACAGCUGUUUGGAAUUUUUUUUUUAUGGCCCUGCAACGAAGUUGUCGGUGCCAUAUAGUUUUAUCCUUGUCCGAAAUUCCGAAAUUCCGUAAUUCCGUAAUUCCGAUAUUCCGUAAUUCCGAUAUUCCGAAAUUCCGUAAUUCUGUCAUUUUGUCAUUCUGCAACAAACCAUUAUACGGAGUUUUUUUCGACACGCCUUCAGAUAUUGCAUUUGGCUGAUUUUUUGUAUGUGAGUUAACCAUGAUGAGUUACAGAUCAAGUAUAAGUUUUGUUCCGCAUCGCUAAUUUUUGCUGAAAUUACAGGCUUUGGACUUUGAUAAAUUAUUGAAAAUCAUAGUUAUACGGAUUUUUUUUCUAUACCCCUCCAGAUUUUGAGCUGAUUUUUGAUAUGUGAGACUACCAUCAUGUUUGUGUCCACAUGUGUUAUUGAAAUUGCAGAUUUUUCAACUUUUUGGGACGGGCCAUUCGUGUCGCUUUGACACUAGUUUUAAGACUACAUUUUCGUUUAUGAUAUGGUCUUUCAACUGUUUUGAUAUAAAUGUUACUGAUGAGUCCUAUGUAGACAAAACGCACGUUUUGAGAACAAAAAUUAUAAGGUUGGUAUCUUUAUCUACGUAUCACAAACUAGCAUGUUCAUUUGAUAUUCUUGGUAUAUAUUACUAUCGCUACUUUACAAAAUUUUCCUCUGAUCUUACUGACUGAUAAUUUCCCUUCUCAACACAGUAGAAGGAUCUGCAUUGUUUUGCUAGAAACUAAGGGCACACGUGCUAUUGUCAAUGAAAUUAUCAAUGUCGUCAUAGGUAAAAUAGCGAUAAACAGAUUAUCAAUGGUCUUCUCAACUCGAUUGGUUUUCUCCCUUUCGCCGUACCGACACAAGCGAGAAUAUCAAUCUCGUUGAAAUGAUCAUGAUAAAAAAAUAUGUAAUUAAUAACAUAUCUUUUAAACUGGCAGCAAUGUUCCAAAGUAAGGUCCCUCUUUUAAGCUUUUGAUCCCUAUAAUACUAUAACUUGGUCUGAUUGGUGUCAUGCACGUUACCUUUGUACUAUCAAACUAAUAUUGACAUAACUUUGUAUGCUGAUUCAUCAUGGGAUAAGGUGUAUCAUAUUAUCAGUCAGAUCACUCUUAUCUUGAAUUUUUCCGUUGACCCCUUCGUUAGUAAAACAUUCUCUUAUUUGUGUUUGGUGCAUACCAUUUCUAGUGUAGCACUUAAUAUUGAAAAGAUUUAUAAUGAUAUCUGUCAAAUAUCUAUCAAAAUAUUGUUGUUACUAUAAAGAUCAUAAUCGCUGUUUUGUGUAUUUUUCCGUUAAUCUUUUAGUCUGAUAACUUUUAAUAUCAUGCUACUUUGAAAAUUAUCGUCAGAAACUAAGGGCGCACAUGUCAUUGUCAAUGUAAACAUCAACAUCGUCAUUAUCAAAAUGGCGAUAAGCAAGUUAUCACUGGACUCUCAAACUAGAGGAUGCUUAUCGGCCACAUCUCAUCUCAAGGCUGUCGACCUUCGAUGAGAUUGAAACUGAGAAUCACCCUCUCGUUUAAAAAGAAACAUCGAUACAUUGUAAUCUAAAAUUAUAUAAUUAUAUUUUUAUUAGGUAAGGACGACAAAUACUGGCAAGGGUAUUUUGGUCCUUAUAUAUCAGCUGCUGGAAUUCGUGUGAAGAAGGAAAGUAAACCAGCCGAGAAUGACAGCUUUUCAGAUAUUGAUCAGGUAUUGUAAUAGUUUUAUAGUAAACCUAUGUCUGUAUUGUUUCUUCAAAUUAUUGAGGAUAAAUGAUAGAGGUUAGUGACGUGUUUGUUAUUUUGGCUGUUGUUUGAGGAUACGACAGACGUGUGUAUGUUAGCAUGUUAAGAAGUUUUAUUUCACGUAUUGAUUUUAUAUUUUCGAGGUAGUUACCUUAAGUUAUUAGUUAUAAACUCAAAUGAAAACUGUUUUAAUGAUCUACUUAUAAAUUUAAAGUCAAAACUCAUCUUCAUUGAUGAAGAUCAAUCCAUGUUUACAAACAAUUACAACAUUACGGGAAUUUCACUUGUGUGAUCCAUGGUUGCCAAUUGGAAAACAAUAUGUAACAAUCUCUCUUAUCAAACAUAAGCUAAUAGAACUCGCCAAGGGAUUUGUUUUUGUCCCGACUGAUAAGGCUGCUAAUACUAUCAUUAUAGUUUGACAUAAAUUUUACAUUGAGGUUUUGAAUAGAGAAUAUAAUGAAAGUUCGAACUAUGCACUGGCUUCCGAAGCUUCCUUAAACUCCUAACACAUAUAUAUUUAUUUCAUCUUCAAGCCAUUGGUCCACUACUUAACUAUCUAUUCUUCUUACAAAAACACUUGGUACAAUAAAAAAUCUGGUAAUACACUGUUUAAAUAAGGCCUUUGAAAGAAUAGACAUUAAUUCUUUUGGAGUGUCAAAAAUUCGUUGGAAGUACUUGAUAACGUGCAUGCUUAUAUUGGUGAUUUCGAAUUUGUUCAAAGUUUUGAUUUUUCUACCCUAAAUACCACUUUGCCUUAUAAUCUUCUAAAGAAAAAAAUCACACACCUGAUUGAAUGAGUAUUUAAACAGUCGGAAUGUGAAUAUAUAUGUUCGAACUUUUUCAUGUCAUUUUUAAUAACAACAGACAAAAGAACCAUGUUAAUUUGUCCUGCUUUGAUACUAUAACUUCUACACAUUUUUUUAUUUAGGGGCCAGCUAAGGACCACUUCUAGGUGCGGGAUUUCUCGCUGUAUUGAGGACCCAUUGGUGGACUUCGGUUGUUAUCUAAUUUGUGGUCGGGUGAUUGUCUCUUUGACAUAAUCCCCAUUUCCAUUCUACAAAAUUUAGUAACAUUAGCCUAUUAUGCUGUUUGGGUUGCUCAUCUAAUUUUGUCUAUAUAAUGAUAACAGAACUACAAACAACUGUCACUCAUGCAGGGGUUCAGCUAGUUAUAAAAUAUGGUUGAGUUCACAUCUUUUUUCGGUAAAUGUCUGUAAGAAGUCGGGAAUAUGGUAGUUGAUUUUCCACUUGUUCCGUUGGUAACAUUCGAUUUUUACCUAUUUUAUGAACCCCCAUAUUGAAAUUGCCUUGGAGAUCGAUAUUUUUUUUCUUGUAAUAAACUAUCAAGGAGUUGUAUUUUCCAAGGCCGUGAUAUAAAUCUGCUCACUUCCGCCUAAUUAUUUAAAAUGCUAUCAUGAACGCAUGAAAACCAUAGUAUUUUAGAAGGCCGAGUUUAAGGUAUUUAUUUCUUAGAUUUUAAUUUCCUACAUUCUCAAUUUGACUCUUUUUUUCAUAACGAAAAUAAAGAAGUAAUGAUACAGCUUGAGCAUUUUUAUGCAAAUUGCAUGGAUGAAAGUUAAAUUUCAUUAAAGAUAUGUACAACUUUAUUUCAGUGUUAUAUUUAACAUUGCAAUAAAAGUGUGAGGUUUGGCUAGUCGCAAAACCGUGUUUAACCCACCUUUUUUUUCUUAAAAUGUCUUGUGCCGAGUCGUUGUUUUUCUCUUAAAGUUGAUGUGUUUACCUCAGUUUAAGUUUGUGACCUGGAUUUGAUUUCUUUUAAUCGAUUUAUGUCUUUCAAACAAAGGUAUACUGCUGUUGACCUUCUUUGUUAACCUCGCAAUUCUACAAUAGCAAGGAAAUAGUGAACCAAUUAUGUUGCUUUAAUUUAAUGAAAAUUCCUUCUGUUUGGUAAUUAUCUCUUUCACAAAUAUUAAUUCUUUGAAUAUUCAACAUUAACAGACUGACGUCACUACCAAAAGAUCGAGCUUAGAAAAAAUGGUGACGAAUAUUCUAACUAGCAAUCAGAGUAUGUUUGAAGAUCUUGUUGACGACAAAAGUAAGUAUUUAGGAUUACACUAUUAAUACCAAUCAGAUCAGAGAAUAUUUUUUUCUCCGAAAAAUCAAUCAAAUACCAUUAGUCUUAGGAGGACAUAAAAGAAUAGAAAAAAGACAAAUGCCUCCUGUAGAUUACAACACAAACUAAAUAUUUAGGAAAAGAAAUGGCCACAAAAUCCAGAAGUGAACAUAAAUGUCACAAUGGAGCAAUUUUGAAAAUCUACAAUAUAUAACUAAAUUAAUUAAAGUCAUAAGAAACCUCAAAUUAAAAAAAAUAAUGCAUAAUUUUUUUUUUAUAACUCAAUGGAUAGUUUUCAUUAUAAAACUGAUGUACAUAUACUUUUUUCUGAAGAAAAUUCUUUAAUUUAUUCAUAUUUAGAAGAAGUUUACUUUAUUUUAAUUGCUUCCUUCCAAUUCCCCGACAUAUUUUCCGUAUGCAAAGUGACCUCAGUGUGACCCAUCUCGUAAAAAUCCGGUGAUCGCAAUACGCAUGGAUGUCCUUAAAAUAAAUAUUAUCUGAAUAUAAAUGUUAAACACAUGCUCAAUUUCCAUGCUUUUUUGUUGAUUUUUUGUCGAUUGUUGACAAACAGGUGACAGUCGUUAAACUUCGGCUUCAAAACACGAACUUUAAUUACCUGUCAUAUUUUCGCAAUAACACUGACCGAUUGAAAAAAAAACUUGACGAUUAUACGAAAUUUACACGAAAAAAAAAUGAUAAAUUCGUGCACAGAAGACUAAGUUUAUGAUGUUUGUAUGCAUUGGUUCAAGAUUGGAAGAACAUUAUUUUUCACCGGUCACUCGUUUCUUAUGACUUUAAACUUUCUACCUUAUUGUUCAGGAUAUACAAGGCUUAAACUGAUUUUAACAUUUUUAAUGAUUGCAUUUGAUCUUUUUUACACCAGAAUAAAAAAUUUAGAAAAAAAUGGAUUUAAAGAAGAUUAGAUGAGUUGGUAUCUUCGAUGAGUUUAUCUAAUACCAGUCUUAUAUAUAUUGUUGGAUGGAUAGGCACAUCUGAUGAGUUUAUCUAAUACCAGACUUAUAUAUAUUGUUGGGUGGAUAGGCACAUCUGAUGAGUUCAUCUAAUACCAGUCUUAUAUAUAUUGUUGGAUGAGAUAGGCACAUCUGAUGAGUUUAUCUAAUACCAGUCUUAUAUAUAUUAUUGGGUGAGAUAGGCACAUCUGAUGAGUUUAUCUAAUACCAGUCUUAUAUAUAUUGUUGGAUGGAUAGGCACAUCUGAUUAGUUUAUCUAAUACUAGUCUUAUAUAUAUUGUUGGAUGAGAUAGGCACAUCUGAUGAGUUUAUCUAAUACCAGUCUUAUAAAUACAUUGUUGGAUGAGAUUGGCACAUCUGAUGAGUUUAUCUAAUACCAGUCUUAUAUAUAUUGUUGGAUGAGAUAGGCACAUUUGAUGAGUUUAUCUAAUACCAGUCUUAUAUAUACAUUGUUGGAUGAGAUAGGCACAUCUGAUGAGUUUAUCUAAUACCAGUCUUAUAUAUAUUGUUGGAUGAGAUAGGCACAUCUGAUGAUUUAUCUAAUACCAGUCUUAUAUAUACAUUGUUGGGUGAGAUAGGGACAUCUGAUGAGUUUAUCUAAUACCAGUCUUAUAUAUAUUGUUGGGUGAGAUAGGCACAUCUGAUGAGUUUAUCUAAUACCAGUCUUAUAUACAUUGUUGGAUGGAUAGGCACAUCUGAUGAGUUUAUCUAAUACCAGUCUUAUAUAUAUUGUUGGGUGAGAUAGGCACAUCUGAUGAGUUUAUCUAAUACCAGUCUUAUAUAUACAUUAUUGGAUGAGAUAGGCACAUCUGAUGAGUUUAUCUAAUACCAGUCUUAUAUAUAUUGUUGGGUGAGAUAGGCACAUCUGAUGAGUUUAUCUAAUACAGUCUUAUAUAUACAUUGUUGGAUGAGAUAGGCACAUCUGAUGAGUUUAUCUAAUACCAGUCUUAUAUAUAUUGUUGGGUGAGAUAGGCACAUUUGAUGAGUUUAUCUAAUACCAGUCUCAUAUAUACAUUGUUGGAUGAGAUAGGCACAUCUGAUGAGUUUAUCUAAUACCAGUCUUAUAUAUAUUGUUGGAUGAGAUAGGCACAUCUGAUGAGUUUAUCUAAUACCAGUCUUAUAUAUAUUGUUGGGUGAGAUAGGCACAUCUGAUGAGUUUAUCUAAUACCAGUCUUAUAUAUACAUUGUUGGAUGGAUAGGCACAUCUAAUGAGUUUAUCUAAUACCAGUCUUAUAUAUAUUGUUGGGUGAGAUAGGCACAUCUGAUGAGUUUAUCUAAUACCAGUCUUAUAUAUACAUUGUUGGAUGAGAUAGGCACAUCUGAUGAGUUUAUCUAAUACCAGUCUUAUAUAUAUUGUUGGAUGAGAUAGGCACUUCUGAUGAGUUUAUCUAAUACCAGUCUUAUAUAUACAUUGUUGGAUGAGAUAGGCACAUCUGAUGAGUUUAUCUAAUACCAGUCUAUAUAUAUACAUUGUUGGAUGAGAUAGGCACAUCUGAUGAGUUUAUCUAAUACCAGUCAUAUAUAUACAUUAUUGGAUGAGAUAGGGACAUCUGCUGAUUUUGGAAACUAUAAGAGCAAAUUUAUGUAUUUUUAAGAUGUUUGAGAAAAGAAGUCAGUGCUUUUAUGCCUUUUUUGCACUCAUGUACUUAUUCAUUUCUUCGAAAUAAGCAGAAAUAAAUUUCUAGCGAAAUAACAUGGUGCAGUUUCAUUCAAGAAGCAUACGUUCCAUAUUAAAUUACCGGCAUAUAAAUUUUUUUUUUUCAGUAUAAAACGACAAAUUAGAAAUUGUGAAUUUAUUUAUAUUCGUUGGUAACACUUGUGAUGGAUAAAAAAGAUAUUGGAUUUUCUUUGAUAUUUGAUUUCGAUGUUUUACCAUAGUCUUGUAUACAAGAUCAUUGAACAAUACAUCAUUGAACAUUUUAAUCUUGGUCCAACUUGUGACAACGAAAUCCACGAACAUUGUAAUCCAACGAACAAAAAUGAAUUCAUAGUAUAAUAUAAAAUGCAAAUUUUGUAGAUUUACCAGUUGACCAGGAGUUCGAAAGGCAAACAGAUAUGUCUAAUGAACUGAAUGGUUGGAAGGGAGGCAAAAAACAAACUCACAAAAAGAGGGAAAUCAGAGUAUUUGUUUCAAGCACAUUUCGAGAUUUUACUUUCGAGAGGGAAGCAAUUAUCAAAAAGGCUUUCAGAGAGGUGAGUGAGAAAAGGUUAAAAGAUAUCAUACAUAGGCCAACAAAACAACAAAAUUGUGAACAUUUAACAAUAAAAAAGAAAUUGCCCAUACUAACAAGCAAAGCAGAAAUUUUGUUCUAUAUAGUUUAUGUCUUUGGCAUGACUGAAAUUUUCAAAUAUACUAAAUCAUAAAAAUUGGUAAAUAUUUCAUCUGCUAUAUGUUUUAGAAUCAGAAGUGUACUUGAAAUUGUUGAAGGUCUUAUUCAUCUUUAAUUACUAUUUCUUUUUGUUCUUUAUAUAUUAACCGACCAUUGUAGUUGCCAUACAAAGUAAACGUUAUGCUUGAAUAAAAAGCACAUCUAUUAGAUAUUAGUCUAUUAAGAUAUUUAAGAUAUAUAAUAUGCUACUCAAGAACAGGCCGACUCAUUUGAGAGUUUUUGACUUUAUAACAUUGACAAUACAAAAAUAGCAAUUCAGAAAACAAAAUAUCAAUCCACAAGAGAGAAAAGAUAAAAAGUAAAAAAAAAAACUGACAACACCAAGAUCAUAGAAAAAAAGAGAAAAAAAGACAGUGAACAAUAAAAAAUUAUUAACCGAAAUCUGAAGAUUAAGCAGAAAAACCACCAAAAUUCGGGGAUAAUAUACGAUGAACCGGAAGGGUUAGCAUUAUCUGCUCCUUAAACGUAUGAUUCCGAUUUGUGGUUGCACUAUAGGUGUUCGAAACCUUCUUCAUUUGUGCUGAAAACUGAAGUAUUUCAAGGAAUAGUCACUAAAAUGUAUUAGAAAAUUUUCCCAAAAUUUUGCCUAGGAUGCAACUUAUGUUUAGUAAAAUGUAAAGUGUACAUUUUCCCAGAAAAUUGUGCAUCAAAAGCAACUUAACAUUCUACUAAUUUAAGGAAUGUGCUUGUUUGGCACUAAAUACUUACCAUAAAGUAAAAAGUUUAUGGCACUAUAAUAUUUACCAAAGUCAAACUUUAGUCAUAAAAGGAUACUGAUUUGUGUUCGGAAUUGUUACUUAGGCGUACUUCAAAUGUUGACACACAAUUUGUAACUGAUGUCUAAAAAUCUUAGUAUAUGAAAUAUGAAUUUAUAUAAUUUUAUUUCAGAUAAAUCGUCUUUGUGUAGACAGAGGUGUAUUUUUCACUUAUGUAGACUUAAGAUGGGGUAUAACAACUGAACAAACAAAUGAUGGCAAAACUAUUGCUAUAUGUUUACAAGAGGCAAGUAUUGACUUUUGCUAUAUGGUAACAAUAAUCUCCAAAUGUAAUCAAUUGGUAUACUUUUACAAGAGGUAUGUGCAACUAUAACAAUAUGUUUAAAAGAGACCAGUAAAAAUAUUUUCAUUGGGCAUGUAAUAUAUUCGUUAAUGUAAGAAGCAAUACCUAAUCUUGUGUGUUUGAGGCAAGUUAACUAUUGAGAAAUACUAUAAAACUUGUUUUUUCUAUAUUCAAAAAGCUAGUUAUUAGUUUUAUUAUUUCAAGGGAGAAGAUGAGAGUGUGUAAGGAUCAAAUUCAAACUCUUAACAAAAAACUAAAUGCUUUGCAAGAGACAUGUAAACAAAUUGAAACACGUAAGAGGCAAGUCAGCACUAUUUGUGUAUUUUAAAAUUUAAAUGUACUAGAUGUCGUUUAAAAGGUACAUCACAUUUCCAGCACCUGUACCUAAACACGCAGUUUUAUCGAGCAUCAAUUUUAUAGUUUUAUUGUUGAUAUUCACCUCAUAUGUACCAAGUUUUAGAAUAAUUUUAUUGAUAUACAAAACUUUCUUGGUAUACCUUAACGGUAGAUUAUACAGACAGAAGGAGAAGUAUACUUAACAACAAAACUAUGUUCUUUUACCUAUGUAUAAUAUGACGUAAUUUUUCAAAGAUGAUGUUUUUUUUUCUGAAAUUGUUUAGCAUUUCACAGCGGUGUAAUACUUUUACUUUAAUUAUUCAUCCCUCAUUUUUAUCAACUUUGCAUUUGCAUUGUAUCAUAGACCAAAUUCAUUCGUUUAGUGUAUGUACAUUUGUGUUACUACGUUUUUUAUUGACUUAAACCAUUCAAAUUGAUAUUUUAUUGUGUGUCUUUUUAUGUUGUGAUGUUUCAGAUAAGGGAGAAGGUAAAAUUUAGACGUUUAAUACCGCUGCAAUUGUUUGCACAUGUCCUAAGUCAGUAAGCUGUGUUCAGAAGUUGUCGUUUAUUAGUUCAUUAGUGUUUUUCGUUUUUUUAUAUAGAUUACACCAUUGGUUUUCCCGUUUAAAUAGUUUUACACUAGCAUUUUUUUAAGGGGCCUUUAUAGAUUGCUGUUCGGUGUGAGCGAGGGCUCCAUGUUGAAGACCGUACCUUGACCUAUAAUGGUUUACUUAAAAAUUGUGAUUUGGAUAGCGAGUUGUCUCAUACGACAUCUUCCUAUAUCUAUAUUAUUGAAGACAUGCUUACAUAUUAUUUCCAUCCGUGUGUUUUGUUAUGAUAAGAAACAAAAAGUUGUGGGAUGACCAAAAAUAAUACUGAAUCGAACAUUUGAUGACAGAAAAUGUUUGUAAAAAUCUAAUUGAAUCUUAGAAAAGUAUGAAGUCAAUGUUAUUUCAGAUAGAUCGAUGCCGUCCAUAUUUUAUCUGUUUGAUGGGGGAUAGAUUUGGCUGGAGCCAAACAGAAGAAAAAAAGGAUGAAACUCUUAAUAUGACGUAUGACUAUGCUAUAGAGAAUAAUCCAAAUCUGAAGUGGAUUGAUGAUUACAGAUACAACACAAGUGUAACACAGGUCAGUUACAUGUACCAAAUAAUAAUUUGACAAUGCAAAUUCAAUAGUGAUUUUUUUUUAACUAGCAUCAUCUUUAGAUACAGUGUAGGAACUAUAAAAUAUAUUAUGUUCUUAGGAUUUAGUCAUUGGCUAAAUCGAAAAUGAUAAAAUGAUCACCAUUAUAAGAUGGUUGUCAAAUAUUGACACAUGGUCCAAAGUGUGACAAAAUAUGCUUUCAGAGUGCAGAAAAGACAAAAGAAGGCACAAUAUUCAUCCAUAGCUUAUGCAUUUUUUUUGUAAACUAAUCAUGGUUUCCUAUGUUAACUGUUUCUGCUUGCAAAAUUUUAGAUUCAAAACAGCACAGCUUGUAUGUUUUAUAUUAAAAGGAGAAAUAACAACCAAUUCACAUCAAUUUAGUAUUUAGUUCCAGAAUAAGUAUAGAAUCGAACUAAAUUAAAGGUCAUAUACAAUGUUUUCCAACAUGAUUGUACUAAGAGAAUGCCUUGUUAAGUGAGAGGUUAAGAUUGAAAACAAUUGUUGACGGAUAUGUCCUUUUUUCCGCGUGGUAGUUUUUAUUGGAUUGAAUGAAAUGUGGCACAUUGAAAACGUUCGAUCAAAAUUACGAUUCCCUAUAGUACACAAUGAAGCCGCAGUAUUGAUAGCAAUAACAUUUGUUAUACCUUUGUAAUAGUCACAUUAAACCAUGUAUUUCUGUGGCAAUAUAAACAGAUCCUCCAAGAGUCCUUAAAUACAAAUUACUGGCAUAUUGUAGAGAACAAUAUUUUAUUUUUCCACUUCUUGUGACCGACCAAAAUUUCCUGCAUAUUCAUCACGAUAAUAAAUGGUCAUUACAAAAAAUAUAUCGAUGUUCAUUCUACCAAGCUCAAAUGCGUUUGCUUAAAAAUGAAUUUUUAUGUCUAUUCUAAACGACAGUUAAUUUUAUAACAAUGUUACCAGACUGAAACGCAUAUCUAAAUUCAGUUAAAGGUUGGACUUUAGAAAAAAAACAUCGAGAUGAGAUAAAUGAAGGUAUAAAACAAAUAAUACUGUUCAUAAGAACGACGUUCCAAAUAGUAUUUGAGGCAAUGGUCAACCUUUUACUUUAUUUUAUUCGAAUGCCAAUGAGGAGUUUUUUUAUAGACGGAACGAGCGUCUGGCGUACAAAAGUUUAAUCCUGGUAUCUAUAAUGAGUAAAUUAAUGUUUCUGUUGUUAAUUGUUUAAUCUCAAUUAUCAAUCAAAUAUAGAUUAUAGAAGAUAAUCACCCGUUGAAAUUACAUUUUAAAAUUUAUAACAAAAUGACUAAGAAUUUCUUCGAAAACUGAAAAUAUGUAUUUCUUCAUUUACGCAUUAUAAAAUUCACAAUACGUUUUUGUUUUAGCUUGAAAUUUUCCAUGGUGUCCUCAAUGAUCCAGAUGAUGUAAAAGACAA
rnacentral:lncRNA from 1 species